GAUGAAGAACGCAGCGAAUUGCGAUAAGUAAUGUGAAUUGCAGAAUUCAGUGAAUCAUCGAAUCUUUGAACGCACCUUGCGCCCUUUGGCCAUUCCGAAGGGCAUGCCUGUUUGAGUAUCAUGAACACCUCAACUCUUUAUGGUUUUCCAUGAUGAGCUUGGACUCUGGGGGUUUUGCUGGCUCACAGUCGGCUCCUCUAAAAUGAAUCAGCUUACCAGUGUUUGGUGGGUAUCAUGGGUGUGAUAACUAUCUACGCUUGUGGUUUUUCCACCAGGUAACCUUCAGCAGUGGAGGUUCGCUGGAGCUCAUAGAUGUCUCUCCUCAGUGAGGACAGCCCUUUGAAUGUUUGAUCUCAAAUCAGGUAGGACUACCCGCUGAACUUAAGCAUAUCAAUAAGCGGAGGA
rnacentral:misc_RNA from 1 species